UACAGAGGGUGCGAGCGUUAAUCGGAAUUACUGGGCGUAAAGCGUGCGUAGACGGUUAUUUAAGCCAGACGUGAAAUCCCCGGGCUUAACCUGGGAAUGGCAUUUGGGACUGCAAGGCUCGAGUGCGGCAGAGGAGACUGGAAUUCCUGGUGUAGCAGUGAAAUGCGUAGAUAUCAGGAGGAACACCGAUGGCGAAGGCAGGUCUCUGGGCUGACACUGACGCUCAUGCACGAAAGCGUGGGGAGCAAACAGG
rnacentral:rRNA from 1 species